CUGCUGUUAGAUGGACACAGAGAGAUAAAUACCUCUAUGUAGACAAAGUGCUGGCUGUUCUGGAUGACGCUGACGUAGGCGUUGUGGAUGGACUCCUCGUGGUACUUGAUGCCAGCGGACCAGUCGCUGGCCGAGCGGAGGAUCUGAGGAAGGAGAGAGACGAUAUGCAGUCCAGACGCCAGCGGUUGCCCUCGACAACCGGCCUCUUCAGGAAGAUCUCUGGACUCAACCUGUGGACCAACACACACUUUUUUCUUCUCCAGGAGCAGGAUGUGACAUCAUCUCUAAAGGAAUCUUGUGACGCUGCAAGAUCCCCAGUCUUUGCUAAAUAUUAUAGUCUGUGAUUAAAACCUCUGAGACUUGAGACACGUCGUGUUUAGAUGUGAGAGGAUGUCAGACGACUUCAGUCUUGCAAAACAAUGACUUGGUCCCACCUCUGACACUCAGCAUGUAGUAUUGAAAUGUGUACUAGUACACCAGUAGUCUGAGCCUCAGACUGUAACUGAUCCGUUUGACCAGAAAACCUCCCCGAGAGGUGACCGCCGGCUGCACUCACUGCACUCUGAGACACACACACACACACACAUAUAGAGACAAACCCCCCCCACCACCAUCCUUUCAAACACAUAAAC